AUGGUUCCCUGCUGUUUCUGUGUGGCCAUGCUGGCCCCUCUGGUGUUAGCCCUGGAACAGUCUCCAGACAUGGUGAUCAAAGAAGGCCAAUCCGUGAAUCUGGAAUGCUCUGAGAAGAAAUCCUCUAACACAGUUAUGUACUGGUUCAUGCUGCCUUCAGAGAAGAAUUCCAGUCUGACUCUACUGGCAUCUGCACUACAGGGUGGUAAUGCAGCAGUGGAGAAGGGUUUUGAGAGCCAUUUCAAGAGCAGCAAGAUUAAAGGAGACAGUAUCACCCUCUCAAUAGAACAUGCCUUUCUCAAUGACUCUGGCACAUACUACUGUGCUGAGAGUGAUCACAGUGGUGAGACUGCUGAGGGAGCUGAGCACAAACCUGUCCCUGCACAAACAGGACCUGCUUUCCACUUGUGGCUGCUGCACGAGGCAGGGUGA